AACGCGAAGAACCUUACCUGGGCUUGAUAUCCUAAGAACCUCUUAGAGAUAAGAGGGUGCUAGCUUGCUAGAACUUAGAGACAGGUGCUGCACGGCUGUCGUCAGCUCGUGUCGUGAGAUGUUCGGUUAAGUCCGGCAACGAGCGCAACCCACGUAUUUAGUUGCUAACAGUUUGGCUGAGCACUCUAAAUAUACUGCCUUCGUAAGGAGGAGGAAGGUGUGGACGACGUCAAGUCAUCAUGGCCCUUAUGCCCAGGGCGACACACGUGCUACAAUGGCAUAUACAAUGAGACGCAAUACCGCGAGGUGGAGCAAAUCUAUAAAAUAUGUCCCAGUUCGGAUUGUUCUCUGCAACUCGAGAGCAUGAAGCCGGAAUCGCUAGUAAUCGUAGAUCAGCCAUGCUACGGUGAAUACGUUCCCGGGUCUUGUACACACGC
rnacentral:rRNA from 1 species